UACGAAGGGGGGCUAGCGUUGCUCGGAAUCACUGGGCGUAAAGGGCGCGUAGGCGGAUCUUUAAGUCGGGGGUGAAAGCCUGUGGCUCAACCACAGAAUUGCCUUCGAUACUGGGGAUCUCGAGACCGGAAGAGGUGAGUGGAACUGCGAGUGUAGAGGUGAAAUUCGUAGAUAUUCGCAAGAACACCAGUGGCGAAGGCGGCUCACUGGUCCGGUUCUGACGCUGAGGCGCGAAAGCGUGGGGAGCAAACAGGG
rnacentral:rRNA from 1 species